rnacentral:rRNA from 1 species
UCUGAGGUACGUCAUUAUCUUCCUUAUUAAAGGAGUUUACAACCCGAAAUGCGUCAUCCCUCACGCGGCGUUGCGGCUUCAGAGUUUCCUCCAUUGUGCAAUAAUCCUCACUGCUGCCUCCCGUAAGA